CCUACGGGAGGCAGCAGUGAGGAAUAUUGGUCAAUGGGCGAGAGUCUGAACCAGCCAAGUCGCGUGAGGGAUGAAGGAUCUAUGGUUUGUAAACUUCUUUUGUAUGGGAAUAAAGUGAGGAACGUGUUCCUUUUUGUAUGUACCAUAUGAAUAAGCAUCGGCUAACUCCGUGCCAGCAGCCGCGGUAAUACGGAGGAUGCGAGCGUUAUCCGGAUUUAUUGGGUUUAAAGGGUGCGUAGGUGGUUAAUUAAGUCAGCGGUGAAAGUUUGUGGCUCAACCAUAAAAUUGCCGUUGAAACUGGUUGACUUGAGUAUAUGUGAGGUAGGCGGAAUGCGUGGUGUAGCGGUGAAAUGCAUAGAUAUCACGCAGAACUCCGAUUGCGAAGGCAGCUUACUAAACUAUAACUGACACUGAAGCACGAAAGCGUGGGGAUCAAACAGGAUUAGAUACCCGUGUAGUC
rnacentral:rRNA from 1 species